rnacentral:rRNA from 1 species
AGAGUUUGAUCCUGGCUCAGGACGAACGCUGGAGGUGUGCUUCACACAUGCAAGUCGAGCGAAUGAAGUAGGUAGCUUGCUACUUAUGGAUUUAGCGGCGGACGGGUGAGUAAUAUAUAGGAAUCUGCCUUAGAGCGGGGAACAACAGACCGAAAGGUUUGCUAAUGCCCCAUAGGUAUGCAGUCUUCGGAUUGUAUAUUAAAGGAGUAAUCCACUCUAAGAUGAGCCUGUAUCCGAUUAGCUAGUUGGCGGGGUAAAGGCCCACCAAGGCUACGAUCGGUAGUUGGUCUGAGAGGAUGAUCAGCCACAAUGGGACUGAGACACGGCCCAUACUCCUACGGGAGGCAGCAGUGGGGAAUUUUACACAAUGGGGGAAACCCUGAUGUAGCGACACCGCGUGAACGAAGAAGCCUUUUGGGGUGUAAAGUUCUGUCGGCUGGAACGAAAAAAAUGACGGUACCAGCAAAGGAAGCAUCGGCUAACUACGUGCCAGCAGCCGCGGUAAGACGUAGGAUGCGAGCGUUGUCCGGAUUUAUUGGGCGUAAAGAGUUCGUAGGCGGUUAUUUAAGUCUGAUGUUAAAUACUGUGGCCUAACCACAGAACUGCAUUGGAUACUGGAUGACUUGAGUGCGGUAGAGGCAAGUGGAAUUCCCAGUGUAGCGGUGAAAUGCGUAGA